rnacentral:rRNA from 1 species
GCAUAUCAAUAAGCGGAGGAAAAGAAACCAACAGGGAUUGCCUCAGUAACGGCGAGUGAAGCGGCAACAGCUCAAAUUUGAAAUCUGGCGUCAGCCCGAGUUGUAAUUUGUAGAGGAUGCUUCUGGGCAGCGGCCGGUCUAAGUUCCUUGGAACAGGACGUCAUAGAGGGUGAGAAUCCCGUAUGCGACCGGUUGGCACCCGUCACGUAGCUCCUUCGACGAGUCGAGUUGUUUGGGAAUGCAGCUCUAAAUGGGUGGUAAAUUCCAUCUAAAGCUAAAUACCGGCCAGAGACCGAUAGCGCACAAGUAGAGUGAUCGAAAGAUGAAAAGCACUUUGGAAAGAGAGUUAAAAAGCACGUGAAAUUGUUGAAAGGGAAGCGCAUGCAACCAGACUUGUCGGCGGCGUUCCGCCGGUCUUCUGACCGGUCUACUCGCCGCCGGCAGGCCAGCAUCGUGUGGGUGCGCCGGAUAAAGGCGCCGGGAAUGUGGCCCCUCGGGGUGUUAUAGCCCGGCGCACAAUACGGUGCCGCCCGCGCGAGGUCCGCGCUUCGGCUAGGAUGCUGGCGUAAUGGUCGUAUGCGGCCCGUCUUGAAACACGGACCAAGGAGUCUAACAUCGGUGCGAGUGUUCGGGUGUCAAACCCCUACGCGGAAUGAAAGUGAACGGAGGUGGGAGCUUCGGCGCACCAUCGACCGAUCCUGAUGUCCUCGGAUGGAUUUGAGUAGGAGCAUCGCUGUUGGGACCCGAAAGAUGGUGAACUAUGCCUGAAUAGGGUGAAGCCAGAGGAAACUCUGGUGGAGGCUCGCAGCGGUUCUGACGUGCAAAUCGAUCGUCAAAUUUGGGUAUAGGGGCGAAAGACUAAUCGAACCAUCUAGUAGCUGGUUCCUGCCGA